rnacentral:rRNA from 1 species
GGGAGGCGUGCUAUACAUGCAAGUCGAGCGAACGGACGAGAAGCUUGCUUCUCUGAUGUUAGCGGCGGACGGGUGAGUAACACGUGGAUAACCUACCUAUAAGACUGGGAUAACUUCGGGAAACCGGAGCUAAUACCGGAUAAUAUUUUGAACCGCAUGGUUCAAAAGUGAAAGACGGUCUUGCUGUCACUUAUAGAUGGAUCCGCGCUGCAUUAGCUAGUUGGUAAGGUAACGGCUUACCAAGGCAACGAUGCAUAGCCGACCUGAGAGGGUGAUCGGCCACACUGGAACUGAGACACGGUCCAGACUCCUACGGGAGGCAGCAGUAGGGAAUCUUCCGCAAUGGGCGAAAGCCUGACGGAGCAACGCCGCGUGAGUGAUGAAGGUCUUCGGAUCGUAAAACUCUGUUAUUAGGGAAGAACAUAUGUGUAAGUAACUGUGCACAUCUUGACGGUACCUAAUCAGAAAGCCACGGCUAACUACGUGCCAGCAGCCGCGGUAAUACGUAGGUGGCAAGCGUUAUAGCCGGAAUUAUUGGGCGUAAAGCGCGCGUAGGCGGUUUUUUAAGUCUGAUGUGAAAGCCCACGGCUCAACCGUGGAGGGUCAUUGGAAACUGGAAAACUUGAGUGCAGAAGAGGAAAGUGGAAAUUCCAUGUGUAGCGGUGAAAUGCGCAGAGAUAUGGAGGAACAACCAGUGGCGAAGGCGACUUUUCUGGUCUAGUAACUGACGCUGAUGUGCGAAAGCGUGGGGAUCAAACAGGAUUAGAUACCCUGGUAGUCCACGCCGUAAACGAUGAGUGCUAAGUGUUAGGGGGUUUCCGCCCCUUAGUGCUGCAGCUAACGCAUUAAGCACUCCGCCUGGGGAGUACG